rnacentral:ncRNA from 1 species
GAUCGUAAGCUUUGCUCAUAUCGAGCUUGACAACGAACCCUUUGUUAGGUCUAUCAACCUGCUUUGUCGGUGCACUGCUUGAGCUGCUCUCGUGGUGAGAGCGGGUCACCACGUGCCGGCCGAGGGACAUACUGGGAAUAACUUCUUCAGGGGCCUUCCCUAGGCAAUGAACAGUCGACUUAAUAUUGGUACGGACAAGGGAAUUUGACUGUUUAAUUAAAACAAAGCAUUUGUGAUGGUCCCUGCGAAUGCUCACGCAAUGUGAUUUAUGCCCAGUGCUCUAAAUGUCAAAGUGAAAAAAUUCAACCAAGCGCGGGUAAACGAUAGGAGUAACUUUCUUUGUAACUGGGCUAUGACUAGGGGUGAGCAAAACUCUAUUCGACUCAAAAAAUAAAAAAAAAUUUUAAUUUCAAGUUAAACGAAUUGAGUUAUUCGAGUUAACUUGAUUUAUUUAUUAAUUUCGAGUUCAAAUCUAGUUGAGUUUUUGAAUUCGAAUAACUCGAAUAAUUCAAACAAUUUGAAUAUCAAACUAUAAUAUUUUAUAUUUUUACCCCAAACUCCCAAACCUUUUUACUUUUCCCUCAAAACUUUUA